rnacentral:rRNA from 1 species
UACAGAGGAGCCAAGCGUUGUUCGGAUUUACUGGGCGUAAAGGGCGCGUAGGCGGCCUGUUAAGUCAGCUGUGAAAUCUCCGAGCUUAACUCGGAACUGUCAGCUGAUACUGAUGUGCUAGAGUGCAGAAGGGGCAAUCGGAAUUCUUGGUGUAGCGGUGAAAUGCGUAGAUAUCAAGAGGAACACCUGAGGUGAAGACGGGUUGCUGGGCUGACACUGACGCUGACAGCGCGAAAGCCAGGGGAGCAAACGGG